AUGAACCCCAGCGCCCCCGGCAACCUUAUGGCCUCGCUCUACGUGGGGGACCUGCACCCCGACGUGACCGAGGCGACGCUCUACGAGUUGUUCAGCCCUGCCGGCCCAAUCCUCUCCAGCCGGGUCUGCAGGGACAUGAUCACCCGCGGCUCCUUGGGAUACGCAUAUGUGAACUUCCAGCAGCCCGCAGACGCGGAGCGUGCUUUGGACGCCAUGAAUUUUGAUGUUAUAAAGGGCAAGACAGUACGCAUCAGGUGAUCUCAGCCUGAUCCAUCACCUAGGAAUAUAACUUUGCAAAAGUGGAGUGGGCAACAUAUUCAUUAAAAAUCUAGGCAAAUCCAUUAAUAAUAAAGCACUGUAUGACACAUUUUCUACUUUUGAUAACGUCCUCUCAUGUAAGGUAGUUUGUGAUGAAAAUGGUUCCAAGGGCUACGGAUUUGUACACUUUGAGACGCAGGAAGCAGCUGAAAGAGCUAUUGAAAAAAUGAAUGGAAUGCUCCUAAAUGAUCGCAAAGUUUUGUUGGACAAUUUAAGUCUUGUAAAGAACGAGAAGCUGAAUUUGGAGCUAGGACAAAACAGUUCACCAAUGUUUACAUCAAGAAUUUUGGAGAAGACAUGGAUGAUGAGCUCCUUAAGCAUCUCUUUGGCGACUUUGGGCUUGCCUUAAGUGUGAAAGUAAUGACUAAUGAAAGUGGAAAAUCCAAAGGAUUUGGAUUUGUAAGCUUUGAAAGGCAAGAAGAUGCACAGAAAGCUGUGGAUGAGAUGAAUGGAAAGGAGCUCAAUGGGAAACAACUUUACGCUGGUCAAGCUCAGAAAAAGGUGGAACGGCAGGCGGAGCUUAAGUGCAAAUUUGAACAGAUGAAGCAAGAUAGGAUCACUAGAUACCAGGAUGUGAAUCAUUAUGUGAAAAAUCUUGAUGAUGAUAUUAAAGAUGAGCGUUUCCGGAAAGUGUUUUCUCCAUUUGGCACAAUCACUUGUGCAAAGGUUAUGAUGGACGGUGGUCGCAGCAAAGGGUUUGGCUUUGUAUGUUUCUCCUCCACAGAAGAAGCCACUAAAGCAGUUACAGAAAUGAACAUAGAAUUGUGGCCACAGAGCCAUUGUAUGUAGCUUUAGCUCAGUGCAAAGAAAGGCACCAGGCUCACCUCACUAACAAGUAUAUGCAGAGAAUGGCAAGUGUACGAGCUGUGCCCAAACCGGUAAGCAACCCCUACCAGCCAGCACCUCUUUCAGGUUACUUCAUGGAAGCUAUCCUACAUACUCAGAACCAUGCUGCAUACUAUCCUCCUAGCCAAAUUGCUCAACUAAGACCAAGUCCUCGCUGGACUACGCAGGGUGCCAGACCUUAUCCUUUCCAAAAUAUUCCCGUUGCUAUCUACCCAGCUGCUCCUAGACCACCAUUUAGGACUAUGAGACCAGCUUUUUCACAGGUUCCAUAAGUCAUGUCAACACAGCAUGUUGCUAACACAUCAACACAGACAGUGGAUCCACAUCCUACAGCUGCAGCUGCUGCAGCUACUCCUGCUGUCAGCAUGGUUCCUCAGCAUAAAUAUGCUGCAGGAGUUUCCAAUCCUUAGCAACAUCUUAAUGCACAGCCACAAGUUACAAUGCAACAGCCUGCUGUUCAUGUACAAGGUCAGGAACUUUUGACUGCUUCUAUAUUGGCAUCUGCCCCUCCUCAAAAGCAAAAGCAAAUGUUGGGUGAAUGGCUGCUUCCUCUUGUUCAAGCCAUGAACCUUACUCUUGCUGGUAAAAUCACUGGCAUGUUGUUGGA